AGAGUUUGAUCCUGGCUCAGAGUGAACGCUGGCGGCGUGGAUUAGGCAUGCAAGUCGAGCGAUCCGCUUCGGCGGAUAGCGGCAAACGGGUGAGUAACGCGUGAGUAAUUUACCUCCAUAACGGAGAUAGCCUUGCGAAAGCAGGGGUAAUAACCGAUGCGCCCCAUACCUCAUAAGGGGAAUAGGGUAAAGAUGGUCCGUAAGGACUGUUGUUUGGAGAUUAGCUCGCGUCCUAUCAGCUUGUUGGUAGGGUAAUGGCCUACCAAGGCAUUUGACGGGUAGCUGGCCUGAGAGGGUGGUCAGCCACAUUGGGACUGAGACACUGCCCAGACUCCUACGGGAGGCUGCAGUCGAGGAUCUUUAGCAAUGGGCGAAAGCCUGACUAUGCGACGCCGCGUGAGGGAUGAAGGUUUUCGGAUCGUAAACCUCUUUCGAUAGGGAAGAAAUCCUUCGUUGAAUAGACGAAGGACUGACGGUACCUAGAGAAGAAGCUACGGCCAACUCCGUGCCAGCAGCCGCGGUAAUACGGAGGUAGCAAGCGUUACUCGGAUUCAUUGGGUGUAAAGGGCAGGUAGGCGGCUAUGUAAGUUGGGGGUGAAAUCCUUUGGCUCAACCAAAGAACUGCCUUCAAAACUGCAUAGCUUGAGGCAAGGAGAGGAGAGCAGAAUUCCAGGUGUAAGAGUGAAAUCUGUAGAUAUCUGGAGGAAUGCCAGUUGCGUAGGCGGCUCUCUGGCCUUGUCCUGACGCUCAGCUGCGAAAGCUAGGGUAGCAAACAGGAUUAGAUACCCUGGUAGUCCUAGCCGUAAACUAUGAGCACUAGGUGUUGGAGGUCAAUCCUUCAGUGCCGCAAGAUAACUCGUUAAGUGCUCCACCUGGGGACUACGGCCGCAAGGCUAAAACUCAAAGGAAUUGACGGGGGCCCGCACAAGCGGUGGAACAUGUGGUUCAAUUCGACGCUACGCGAAGAACCUCACCAGGGCUUGACAUGUAGGAAGUAAGAAUCCGAAAGGUGGAUGACCUGUUAAGUCAGGAGCCUACACAGGUGCUGCAUGGCUGUCGUCAGCUCGUGUCGUGAGAUGUUGGGUUAAGUCCCGCAACGAGCGCAACCCUUAUUCUUAGUUGCUACCUAGUAUUGAUCUUGGCAACAAGGUCAAUGCGGGGCACUCUAAGAAGACUGCCUGCGAUAAGCAGGAGGAAGGUGGGGAUGACGUCAAGUCAGUAUGGCCUAUAUGUCCUGGGCUACACACGUGUUACAAUGCUCACUACAAUGCGUUGCCAAACCGCGAGGUGGAGCUAAUCGCAAAAAAGUGAGCUCAGUUCGGAUUGGAGUCUGCAAUUCGACUCCAUGAAGCCGGAAUCGCUAGUAAUGGCAGAUCAGCUACGCUGCCGUGAAUACGUUCCCGCGCCUUGUACACACCGCCCGUCAAGCGAUGGGAGUUGGGAGUACCUGAAAUUUCUCUUCUCGAGGAAUGAAGGUAAGCCCGGUAACUGGCGCUAAGUCGUAACAAGGUA
rnacentral:rRNA from 1 species